rnacentral:rRNA from 1 species
CCCUUAGAUGUUCUGGGCCGCACGCGCGCUACACUGAUUCAUGCAACAAGUUUUGUCCUUGGCUGAUAGGCCUGGGUAAUCUUUGAACGUGAAUCGUGAUGGGGAUAGAUGAUUGCAAUUAUUCAUCUUCAACGAGGAAUUCCUAGUAAACGCAAGUCAUCAGCUUGCAUUGAUUGCGUCCCUGCCCUUUGUACACACCGCCCGUCGCACCUACCGAUUGAAUGGUCCGGUGAAAUCUUCGGAUCUGAGAGAUGUCUGAUUAAUUUCGGACGCCUUUUGGAAAAGUUGUUUAAACCUUACCAUUUAGAGGAAGGUGAAGUCGUAACA